AUUUAAGUAGCUUAAAUUUAGAGUACGACAUUGAAGAUGUUGAGGUAAUUUUGUAAUUCUUAAAUA
rnacentral:tRNA from 1 species